UUUUUAAUCUCCAAAUCGAGGAGAAAACAAAUAAACAACUAAGUGUUUUGAUAUCUGUAAAAUAGGUUUAUUAUUAUUAUACAAUUUCUUGCCUCUCUCCUUGUGACUAAAUGGAUAGAUACUUAGAGGUUUCUGGUACUUCUGCUAUCACCAUGUUGAAACAUAAAAUUGGUCCUGAAUUCAGAAAGUUUGUUUUAUGGAAAUAGAUGCAUUUGAUGGGAGAAAAAGGGGGCUGCUAAGGCUGGCAGUUAGGAACCAUAUCUGAACUUCUCUUCCAUCCAAGAAUGUACGUUUAGUCCCAGCUAACUCUAAUAUCAAAAAUCACUCUAAAUUACAUGUUUGCAUCCCAGUUCUUUUUCUCUAGUUCCACUUCAAACCUCAUUCUAAGAUUGGGAGGGAGAGAAGGAGGAAGCAAGGAAAUAGACUUCCAACUUUGAAGGGGUAUUUUCUAUGCUUGGUCUGACGGAUGAUUACUACCUUAUCCUCAGGAUAGCUAGCCAACCACCAAUUUAAAAGAGACAACCAACCAACCAACAACCAUAAUAUAAUUCCUACUAGAAAUUGCCCUGUAGAGAACAAGCAAAGUGAGAAAGAGAACAUCAUCUGAAAAAACUUAAGUUCCACUGCAAACCUCAUUCUGAGAUUGAGAGAGGGAGGGAAGGAGAGAGCAAGGAAAGAGACACCCAAAUUUGAAGACAAUAUUUUCUGUUCUUCGUCCGGCUGAUGAUUCCUGGGAGAUCACCCAGGAUAGCUAGUCAACCUCAAUUUAACAGAGAUGACAAAGCAACAACCAUAAUAUAAUUCCUAUUAGAUAUUGCACUGUAGGUAACAAAACAAAAAUAGGAAGGUCAGGAGCAACAUCAGGGAAGAACUUAAGUGAUACAGAAGGAGAAAGAUACAGAAGGAGGAUGGAUUCGAGAAACCACACCGAGUUUGUUCUUAAAGGUUUGGCAGAGACCAGGGAACUGCAAGUCUUGUUCUGUGUCAUCCUCUUGAUCUUCUAUGUCAUUAUUUUUCCUGGUAAUAUCCUCAUCAUUGUGACUAUUUUGAAAGACCCCCAAUUAGGA